rnacentral:piRNA from 1 species
UUAUCGCCAACGUCCAGCUGAUGGUAAUGA